UCUCGGCCAUCCAGCUCAUGGUUGUCUAAGGAGCCUGGAAACACUUCAACCACCCGGAAAUACCCAGCCUGCAGAAGGAGACGUCGUUCAGGUUGCAGGACUUGGUGGUUAUAGAGUAAAUGCCACCGGCCACACAUUCCCUGAUGAACCACCUAAUCUUCAGUGUGCAAACAUGUGUGUUGCUGACUGUGAGCCUACCAGAUACUCUCAGUGUACUGCAUAUGUGCCAUAUAACAACAGGCUGUGUCUGGAAGAACAUCAAGUAGAUGCACGUGGGG